UGUUAGCUGCAGUAUUAAAAAAUAUUAGGUCAAUCUCAAAAAAAUAUCUUAAAUUUGUAUUUAAUACGAAACUGUUGAAUGGCUCGGAUAAUUAAAAUCCCUCCCUGUAUCAACUAUGAAGUCUUAGAUAUGGUGGAGAAUUGGCAUCAAAAGUUUCAAGACAACUCAAAAUGUCUCGAUGCUAAUUCAGUUUGUAGAGGAUAGCUAUGUCAGGGUGGCAACCGAUUGUAUGGUUCAUAUAGGAAACAGAAACAACAAAUCUUCAAGAGAGUUCUCAAUAAAAUGAUAAUUGUACAAGUGUAUUACUCAUCUUUAUUUCAUUUAGUAAACUGGUUCAAUAUUUCAGAACCAAUAUAUAUAUAAAAUUUUUCUUCUAAAAAAGUGUUGUUGGCUUCGAAAGUUUUGAUAGUUUUUAUCAGCUGAACGGUAAAUUAUAAUAUGAUUAUCAGAAAAAAUGAAAGGUUUCUCGAAAAUAGUUAAAAACCAUA
rnacentral:lncRNA from 1 species